rfam:Clostridium sp. CAG:299 genomic scaffold, scf33
UGAUAGCAAUGAAGCGCGAGGUUGCUGCCUGAGAGAUGGCAGGUUUUCCGUGGAGCGAAUGUCAAGUUAGGAAACUGGCGACAA